GGGGAAUUUUCCGCAAUGGGCGAAAGCCUGACGGAGCAAUACCGCGUGAGGGAGGAAGGCUCUUGGGUCGUAAACCUCAAAACUUAGGGAAGAAGAAAGUGACGGUACCUAAUGUAAGCAUCGGCUAACUCCGUGCCAGCAGCCGCGGUAAUACGGAGGAGACAAGCGUUAUCCGGAAUUAUUGGGCGUAAAGCGUCCGCAGGUGGCGAUUCAAGUCUGCUGUCAAAGGACGGGGCUUAACUCCGUAAAGGCAGUGGAAACUGAAUGGCUAGAGUACCGUAGGGGUAGAGGGAAUUCCCGGUGUAGCGGUGAAAUGCGUAGAGAUCGGGAAGAACAUCGGUGGCGAAAGCGCUCUACUGGACGGUAACUGACACUCAGGGACGAAAGCUAGGGGAGCGAAAGGGAUUAGAUACCCCAGUAGUC
rnacentral:rRNA from 1 species